GCCCGUUUGGCUCAGUGGAUAGAGCAUCGGCCUGCGAACUGAAGGGUCCUGGGUUCUAUUCCGGGGAAGGGCA
rfam:Myotis davidii contig87162, whole genome shotgun sequence.